rnacentral:piRNA from 1 species
UCAGUGCUCAGUGUUGCCCAGGCUGG